AUUGAACGCUGGCGGCAUGCCUUACACAUGCAAGUCGAACGGCAGCACGGGAGCAAUCCUGGUGGCGAGUGGCGAACGGGUGAGUAAGGUAUCGGAACGUGCCCAGUCGUGGGGGAUAACGUAGCGAAAGUUACGCUAAUACCGCAUACGAUCUAUGGAUGAAAGCGGGGGAUCGCAAGACCUCGCGCGAUUGGAGCGGCCGAUAUCAGAUUAGGUAGUUGGUGGGGUAAAGGCCCACCAAGCCGACGAUCUGUAGCUGGUCUGAGAGGACGACCAGCCACACUGGGACUGAGACACGGCCCAGACUCCUACGGGAGGCAGCAGUGGGGAAUUUUGGACAAUGGGCGAAAGCCUGAUCCAGCCAUGCCGCGUGCAGGAUGAAGGCCUUCGGGUUGUAAACUGCUUUUGUACGGAACGAAAAGGACUGCCCUAAUACGGUGGUCCCAUGACGGUACCGUAAGAAUAAGCACCGGCUAACUACGUGCCAGCCGCCGCGGUAACAC
rnacentral:rRNA from 1 species